ensembl:lncRNA
GGGGGCCAGAGAGAGAAACGUGAGAAGCAGGAAGUGACGGAGAAAAGGCUGCGGUGGAGGCAGGGGAGGUAAAGGCCGGGAGAAGAGCGGAGAGACAGAAGGACGUAGGGUGGGCAACAGAGAGGCUGUCGGGCUGGCGGAAGACAGGAGGCAGCGGAAAAAGACAGGGAGGCCGGGAGAUGGACCCCGGGCAGACCCGAGGCCAGCCGGAGGGAGGGGUGAGGGCCGGACCCUGCAGCAGCAGGCGGGGUGGGUCCUGCUUCACGCCAGGCCAGUUUGGUCCAGCCAGGCCCCACAGGCCCUCUGCUCUAUCAGAGUCGUCAAUCUGUGGCCAGGGCCAGAAUCACAAGACAGAGCACGCCAGCCCGAAAAUCAACCUGGCACUUCUCUCUUGAGCAGCACAAAGGCAUAUGACUCAACGCCCCCAUCCCCUCCUGCUCUGCUUUCCGAGGCCUUCCCCAAGGUUUCUGGGAAUUUCUCCGAGGUCGGUCCCCGCCAACGUGAGCUCUGGCUCCAAACGCCCCUCCCACGGUUCCGUUUUGUGACUGGCACCCACCUCCCAACGCGUGACACACGCGAGGAUCCCGGGUGCGGGCUCAGCCCGCCCCAAACCAAAGGGGGCAGCUGGCACAAGAGAGACUCUGGAGGUGGGGAGGGGCCCAGAGGACCCAGAGGGGGAACGGCUUCACAGGGCCUAGUGCUGCGCUAAAGAGCCCGCCAGUCUCCCCUCCACCAGGAGAGCAUCCCUGCCGCUCUAUCCCACGCUGGCCUCAGGCCCAUGCCACCCAGGCCCCUCCUGGCUCUCCCCGGUCCAUCUCAGUCCCUUCCAGCCCCUGCUCUGGUCUCGAUGCAGCAAGAUACGUCCCUUAACCCCACCCACCCAUCUUGGAAAGAAGCCGAAACCUCCUUCCACACAGAAUCCCCACUAUGGCCGGGCUGCAAGGCUUGGUUCCAGAAGGCAGGUACCUCACAGAAGGCGAGCUCUUGAGGCAGAUUCUGAGCCGGAGUCUGGCACGUCUGGGAGUGGUAUGGAGGAGAAGGCCUGUAGCAGCCUGCAGCCCGUGCAGCUCCAACCCCGCACCUGGGGCCUUCAGUCUUGUCAGUUCCUGUCCCUCCUGAUCCUGCGGCCAGAGCAGGGUCUCUGACACACAAGCCAUGACCCUCCCUCACAUGUGACCUGCGGUGGCUCCCCAGUGCUCUUCAGGAGGCUCCUUUGGGGAGGAGCCCUGGGGUCUGACUGGACCUCUCCACUUCCCUCAUGUGCCCUGAUCUUGCAGCACCUGAGGCUUUUGCAGAUGUGGUUCCUUUGGCCGGGAGCACCGUUCCCCAUCUCCGUGAGUUGCCUCCUCCCACGCACACAAGAGCUGCUCCCUGACAACACUCCCUGCCCGGCUUCCCCGGGAUCUCUCCCAUUCAUCGCAAAUGGCUCUGGUGGCAAAGUGCAGUGACCCAGAGCCUGGACCCAAAAGUCCUAGAGGGGCUCACGGCCUCUUUCAGAAUCGUCAUUCCAUUUGUAAAAACCAAGAUGUUACAUGAUUCUUUUUCCAGACUCUAUU